rnacentral:rRNA from 1 species
UACGUAGGGCGCAAGCGUUGUCCGUAAUUAUUGGGCGUAAAGAGCUCGUAGGUGGCGUGUCGCGUCUGCCGUGAAAGCCCAUGGCUUAACUGUGGGUCUGCGGUGGAUACGGGCAGGCUGGAGGCUGGUAGGGGCAAGCGGAAUUCCUGGUGUAGCGGUGAAAUGCGCAGAUAUCAGGAAGAACACCCGUGGCGAAGGCGGCUCUCUGGUACGUGACUGACGCUGAGACGCGAAAGCGUGGGGAGCGAACAGG